UCAGCAUUGUGUUAUCAGUGUGCUGCAUUUUGGUUAUGUUCAUGCCUGUUGAACGAUUUUGAAACCAUGGUGAAUUUGUCUGUUGCUUUUCCUUCUUGAUUCUUAACUGAAGUGGUUUAGAUGGGUAAAUGCUGGCUUCUAGUUUUAAACAGAGAGAUGAUUGUAUGACUACCGUAGAAUUCAGAGAGAAGGGGAUGUAUCAGCAGCAGAAGUCAAGGGAAGAACAUGCUUUUUCUGCAGCCAGCUUCUGCAAAGAAGUGACUGAGUUGCGCCUUACAUCGAUAGAUUCUCAAGCAGCAACUUCUCGUCCAGAGUUCAAAGGUAUCACUUUCAGGAAAGCUUCAACUGGUGGUUUUGCCAGGAGUCGUAAUGAUGUACACGAGUUACUCGAUUGUACUGUUUGCAUGAAUUUAAUGCAUCCUCCAAUUUACCAGUGUGCAAAUGGGCACACUCUUUGUUCAAGCUGCAAGGCAAGGAUUCAGAACUGUUGCCCUACCUGCCGGCAUGAGCUUGGAAACAUAAGGUGCCUAGCACUGGAAAAGGUGGCCGAGUCACUCGAGCUCCCUUGUGUGUACCAAAACCUAGGUUGCAUUGACAUGUUCCCAUACUACAGCAAGCUUAAACAUGAGAAGAACUGUAAAUACCGGCCAUACAACUGCCCUUACGCCGGAGGUGAAUGUCGUGUAACUGGUGAUAUUCCAUACCUUGUCAUGCAUCUCAAGGACGAUCACGAGGUCGAUAUGCAUGAUGGAUGUUCCUUCAGCCAUAGAUACGUCAAAUCCAAUCCACAAGAAGUUGAAAAUGCUACAUGGAUGCUUACUGUUUUUAACUGCUUUGGACGACAAUUCUGUUUGCACUUUGAAGCGUUUCGAUUAGGAACAGCACCUGUUUACAUGGCAUUCCUCCGGUUCAUGGGUGAUGAUGACGAUGCAAAACAAUUUUCUUACAGUCUGGAAGUUGGUGGAAAUGGAAGAAAACUCAUUUGGCAAGGUAUUCCGAGAAGUAUCCGCGAUAGCCAUCGGAAGGUUCGAGACAGUCACGAUGGACUAAUCAUUCAGAGGAAAUUGGCACUAUUCUGCUCUGGAAAUGAGGGAAUGGAACUGAAGCUAAAGGUUACAGGCCGAAUAUGGAGAGUGAGUUUUUUUCAGAAGCAAAAAGUUGCAGGUGUGUCAGAUGAAGAAUAAGACAAAGGAGAAAGGAGCGGGAGCGGGGAGCGAGAAAAUGAGAGGAAGAAUCUGAACAAAUGAAAUGAAAAAUGGAACAAAAGAUUGUUGUUGUGUCUUAUCAGGAUAAGAUAAAGGAGCGGGGAGAGGGAUUGAGGAGCGUGAGCGGGAUUUUUUUCUGAAGAAAAAAGUUACAAGUGUGUCUGAUGAAUAACAAGACAAAAGAAAGAAGAGCAAGAGCAGGGAGCGAGAAAAUGAUAAGAAGAAUAUAAAUAAAUGAAAAGAAAUUGUUGUCUUAUGAGGAUGAAGACAAAGGAGGGGGGAGUGGAAGCAAAGCAUAAAUGGGGAGUUAAAAAUAGGUCCUCACACGCGUUUUGAGGUCAAAUGGGUACUUUCACAUGUGAAUGACUUCAGUAGAAGGCCAAAUUUCAAAUGUUUUUUUAAAAUGAGGUCAAAUUUGGAGUGGCCCCUAUACAAAUCCCCUGAUAUAUUACAUGUAAUACAAUUGAGUUAAUAUUCUAAUACAAAAGUUCCCUUUAUUGGCCUUUCUUAGAAA